GAUGAACGCUAGCUACAGGCUUAACACAUGCAAGUCGAGGGGCAGCAUGGUCUUAGCUUGCUAAGGCCGAUGGCGACCGGCGCACGGGUGAGUAACACGUAUCCAACCUGCCGUCUACUCUUGGACAGCCUUCUGAAAGGAAGAUUAAUACAAGAUGGCAUCAUGAGUCCACAUGUUCACAUGAUUAAAGGUAUUCCGGUAGACGAUGGGGAUGCGUUCCAUUAGAUAGUAGGCGGGGUAACGGCCCACCUAGUCUUCGAUGGAUAGGGGUUCUGAGAGGAAGGUCCCCACAUUGGAACUGAGACACGGUCCAAACUCCUACGGGAGGCAGCAGUGAGGAAUAUUGGUCAAUGGGCGAGAGCCUGAACCAGCCAAGUAGCGUGAAGGAUGACUGCCCUAUGGGUUGUAAACUUCUUUUAUAAAGGAAUAAAGUCGGGUAUGCAUACCCGUUUGCAUGUACUUUAUGAAUAAGGAUCGGCUAACUCCGUGCCAGCAGCCGCGGUAAUACGGAGGAUCCGAGCGUUAUCCGGAUUUAUUGGGUUUAAAGGGAGCGUAGAUGGAUGUUUAAGUCAGUUGUGAAAGUUUGCGGCUCAACCGUAAAAUUGCAGUUGAUACUGGAUAUCUUGAGUGCAGUUGAGGCAGGCGGAAUUCGUGGUGUAGCGGUGAAAUGCUUAGAUAUCACGAAGAACUCCGAUUGCGAAGGCAGCCUGCUAAGCUGCAACUGACGUUGAGGCUCGAAAGUGUGGGUAUCAAACAGGAUUAGAUACCCUGGUAGUCCACACGGUAAACGAUGAAUACUCGCUGUUUGCGAUAUACGGCAAGCGGCCAAGCGAAAGCGUUAAGUAUUCCACCUGGGGAGUACGCCGGCAACGGUGAAACUCAAAGGAAUUGACGGGGGCCCGCACAAGCGGAGGAACAUGUGGUUUAAUUCGAUGAUACGCGAGGAACCUUACCCGGGCUUAAAUUGCAGAUGAAUUACGGUGAAAGCCGUAAGCCGCAAGGCAUCUGUGAAGGUGCUGCAUGGUUGUCGACAGCUCGUGCCGUGAGGUGUCGGCUUAAGUGCCAUAACGAGCGCAACCCUUGUUGUCAGUUACUAACAGGUCAUGCUGAGGACUCUGACAAGACUGCCAUCGUAAGAUGUGAGGAAGGUGGGGAUGACGUCAAAUCAGCACGGCCCUUACGUCCGGGGCUACACACGUGUUACAAUGGGGGGUACAGAGGGCCGCUACCACGCGAGUGGAUGCCAAUCCCCAAAACCUCUCUCAGUUCGGACUGGAGUCUGCAACCCGACUCCACGAAGCUGGAUUCGCUAGUAAUCGCGCAUCAGCCACGGCGCGGUGAAUACGUUCCCGGGCCUUGCACA
rnacentral:rRNA from 1 species